AUAUUUCCGCAACAAACCUACCAACAAAGAUGUCCAGACUGUCCUCUCCCAGGGGGAGGACACUGAGGUGGCACUUCAUGUGGUCCAGUUGCUGAUGGCCCACUUCACAGAGACCACAGAUGGGCUCAUCCUUCUUGCAGAUUUGUCUGCCACAGUGGCUGAUGUUGAGAGGACCCUCACGCUACCACCAACUCCUCGUCUAAUACUGCUCAGUGGAACAGAGCAUGUGACUGCAGGACGCUGGAUGAUCUGCCUUGAGG